rnacentral:rRNA from 1 species
ACCGGCAGCUCAAGUGGUGGCCAUUAUUAUUGGGCCUAAAGCGUUCGUAGCCGGUUUGAUAAGUCUCUGGUGAAAUCCCGCAGCUUAACUGUGGGACUUGCUGGAGAUACUAUCAGGCUUGAGGUCGGGAGAGGUUAGGGGUACUCCCAGGGUAGGGGUGACAUCCUAUAAUCCUGGGAGGACCACCGGUGGCGAAGGCGCCUAACUGGAUCGACCCUGACGGUGAGUAACGAAAGUCAGGGGCUCGAACCG